AAACUAACAAGGAUUCCCCUAGUAGCGGCGAGCGAAGCGGGAAGAGCUCAAAUUUAUAAUCUGGCACCUUCGGUGUCCGAGUUGUAAUCUCUAGAAAUGUUUUCCGCGUUGGACCGCACACAAGUCUGUUGGAAUACAGCGGCAUAGUGGUGAGACCCCCGUAUAUGGUGCGGACGCCCAGCGCUUUGUGAUACAUUUUCGAAGAGUCGAGUUGUUUGGGAAUGCAGCUCAAAUUGGGUGGUAAAUUCCAUCUAAAGCUAAAUAUUGGCGAGAGACCGAUAGCGAACAAGUACCGUGAGGGAAAGAUGAAAAGCACUUUGGAAAGAGAGUUAACAGUACGUGAAAUUGUUGGAAGGGAAACGCUUGAAGUCAGACUUGCUUGCCGAGCAAUCGGUUUGCAGGCCAGCAUCAGUUUUCCGGGAUGGAUAAUGGUAGAGAGAAGGUAGCAGUUUCGGCUGUGUUAUAGCUCUCUGCUGGAUACAUCUUGGGGGACUGAGGAACGCAGUGUGCCUUUGGCGGGGGUUUCGACCUCUUCACACUUAGGAUGCUGGUGGAAUGGCUUUAAACGACCCGUCUUG
rnacentral:rRNA from 1 species